rnacentral:tRNA from 1 species
GGAUCUGUAGCUUAAUAGUAAAGCACCAAUUUGUCUCAUUGGGUCAUGCCUGUGCGAUUCAGGUCAGAUUCG